rnacentral:rRNA from 1 species
UUUCAACUUGAGAGUUUGAUCCUGGCUCAGAAUGAACGCUGGCGGCAGGCCUAACACAUGCAAGUCGAACGCAUCCUUCGGGAUGAGUGGCGGACGGGUGAGUAACACGUGGGAACGUACCCUUU